rnacentral:tRNA from 1 species
GCCCACGUAGUCUACUUAAGACGCAACACUGAAGAUGUUGAGAUGAGCCCUAGAAAGUUCCGUAGGCA